AUUGAACGCUGGCGGCAUGCUUUACACAUGCAAGUCGAACGGUAACAGGCCUUCGGGUGCUGACGAGUGGCGAACGGGUGAGUAAUGCAUCGGAACGUACCCAGAGGUGGGGGAUAACGCAGCGAAAGCUGUGCUAAUACCGCAGGUGAUCUGAGGAUGAAAGCGGGGGACCGAGCAGCAAUGUUUGGCCUCGCGCCUUUGGAGCGGCCGAUGUCGGAUUAGCUAGUUGGUGGGGUAAAGGCCUACCAAGGCGACGAUCCGUAGCUGGUCUGAGAGGACGACCAGCCACACUGGGACUGAGACACGGCCCAGACUCCUACGGGAGGGAGCAGUGGGGAAUUUUGGACAAUGGGCGCAAGCCUGAUCCAGCAAUGCCGCGUGCGGGAAGAAGGCCUUCGGGUUGUAAACCGCUUUUGGCAGGAACGAAACGGUGUCCGCUAAUACCGGGCGCUAAUGACGGUACCUGCAGAAUAAGCACCGGCUAACUACGUG
rnacentral:rRNA from 1 species